GAUCCUGGCUCAGAUUGAACGCUGGCGGCGUGCUUAACACAUGCAAGUCGUACGCGAAAGGGACUUCGGUCCCGAGUAAAGUGGCGUACGGGUGAGUAACACGUGGAUAAUCUGCCUCUAUGAUGGGGAUAACAGUUGGAAACGACUGCUAAUAUCGAAUACGCUCAUAAUGAACUUUGUGAGGAAAGGUGGCCUCUGCUUGCAAGCUAUCGCAUAGAGAUGAGUCCGCGU
rnacentral:rRNA from 1 species